rnacentral:rRNA from 1 species
UACGAGGGGGCGAGCGUUGUUCGGAAUUAUUGGGCGUAAAGGGUGCGUAGGCGGCUUUUUAAGUUUGGUGUGAAAUCUCCCCGGCUCAACUGGGAGGGUGCGCCGAAUACUGAGAGGCUAGAGUGUGGGAGAGGAAAGUGGAAUUCCUGGUGUGAGCGGUGAAAUGCGUAGAUAUCAGGAGGAACACCGGUGGUGUAAACGGCUUUCUGGAC